CGGCCUCUAGCUCAGACGAGUAGAGCACCGGAGUGAAAUCCCGGAGGCACUGGUUCGAAUCCAGUGGGGCCGA
rnacentral:tRNA from 1 species